UCUGAGGACAGCUUCCCUCUGGAGGCUUCUGCCUUGAGAAUGUCCCCGCAUGCCCACCACGUAGGCGCCCUCUGAUGUCUCUCCCCAGGUCAACUGCCCUGUGGUCAGUAACUGCACUAUGAAGGAGGACUGUAGUCCUGCAGACUGGAGACUUGCUGCAUUUGAAAUCUGAGAAUGUAUGCAGAGUUGGGCCUUACUCAUAGCUCCUGAUGUCAGGGUCUCAGACCUCCUACCAUAAGGCCUAUCGAGCACCUGGGCAUCCUUGGGAUCAAUGGAUCCAUCAGGAACACUGGAGAUGAGUCUGGUGAUCCUCCUUCAGCCCUGCUAGCUGCUGACAGGCUUCUGAGAAAAGAGGAAGACCCGGAACCCCAGGAUACUCCAAAAUCCAGGCAAACUCAGCUUCUCUGUCUCCUUGCCUGUUCUAAGUUACUUGUAGCUUCCAGAAAGGCCUUUUUCUUCAUUCUUCCAGGGGCCAAAGAGAAACAGCUUAAUGGUCUCCCUGAGUACAAAGGCAAGAGCCCACAUCCACCCUGGCAGGGUGGAUAAUGGCUUUGCAAAUAAAUGGUCCAAUGUG
rnacentral:lncRNA from 1 species